AUCGCCUAAUUCGGAGCUGUGUCUGUUCUAUAGGCUCAUACCUCUGUAUCCUUUAGCAUAAAGGAGACAGGAACUCAAGUCUGGUUGAUGAAUUGCGACCGUGGGAUCAGAGCGUGAUUAACGGUUGGGGAAGUUCUUCGGAGUUGUCCUUGGCUGUAGAGGAUCGUUCUCAGUCAGAAUUCCCUGACUGGGGUGGUCCCACGGUUGUCUGACAGAUU